GGGCCGCGGGGGGCCGGGCGCUCCCCGCCGGAGAUGAGGAAACUGAGGCUCAGAGAGGUCACAUGGCUUGCUCGAGGCCCCCCAGCCAGUAAGUGGUGAAACCGGGAUUCGCACUGGCAGCUGACAUGCUGUACUGACCAUGGCCUUCUCAGAGCAGGAUUGUGACGGGGCGGACCAGGGGGACGGUGGUCCUGGCUGAGGGCACAGCUCGGGCAAAGGUGUGAACCCACAUCCCUGCCCCCAGGGCCACCUGCAGGACGCCGACACCUACCCCUCAGCAGACGCCGGAGAGAAAUGAGUAGCAACAAAGAGCAGCGGUCAGCAGUGUUCGUGAUCCUCUUUGCCCUCAUCACCAUCCUCAUCCUCUACAGCUCCAACAGUGCCAAUGAGGUCUUCCAUUACGGCUCCCUGCGGGGCCGUAGCCGCCGACCUGUCAACCUCAAGAAGUGGAG
rnacentral:ncRNA from 2 species